rnacentral:tRNA from 1 species
GCUGGGGCUCAGCGGAGAGCGCUCGCCUAGCACCUGCGAGGCGCUGGGUUCAAUCCCCAGCACCGCA